AGUGAAGCGGGAUGAGCUCAAAUUUAAAAUCUGGCUGGUUUACUAGUCCGAAUUGUAGUUUAAAGAAGUGUUUUCGGUGGCAGCCUGGGUAUAAAUCCUUUGGAACAGGGUAUCAUAGAGGGUGAGAAUCCCGUCUUUGACUCAGUGCAUGCUACUAUGUGAUACAUUUUCAAAGAGUCGAGUUGUUUGGGAAUGCAGCUCAAAAUGGGUGGUAAAUUUCAUCUAAGGCUAAAUAUUGGCGAGAGACCGAUAGCGAACAAGUACCGUGAGGGAAAGAUGAAAAGAACUUUGAAAAGAGAGUUAAACAGUGCGUGAAAUUGUUGAAAGGGAAACGCUUGACACCAGUCAUGCGAGCGGAAAAUCAGUCUUUUGCAGUGGGGGGUUGUGUGGGAUCGGACCGCAAGGCCGGCCUAUGCUGCAUCUCUGCUGUAAGUGAUGCACUUUUUCGUUUGCAGGCCAACAUCAGUUUCUUCUGCUGGACAAAACUCUUGAGAAGGUAGCAGCUUUGGCUGUGUUAUAGCUCUUGAGCGAUACAGUGGAGGGGACUGAGGUUUUCGCAGCGCGUGCUUUCGGGCAAGGCUGAUUGGGUGCUAUGGGAUCGUUCGGUGUACAAUGCAUGCAUUUUGCGCCGUGUCUUUUCUGUACUCGCUCAACUCGGCUCUUCCGCGCUUAGGAUGUUGGCUUAAUGGUUUUAAUCGACC
rnacentral:rRNA from 1 species